rnacentral:rRNA from 1 species
UUGUGAGGUUAAGCGACUAAGCGUACACGGUGGAUGCCCUGGCAGUCAGAGGCGAUGAAGGACGUGCUAAUCUGCGAUAAGCGUCGGUGAGGUGAUAUGAACCGUUAUAACCGGCGAUUUCCGAAUGGGGAAACCCAGUGUGUUUCGACACACUAUCAUUAACUGAAUCCAUAGGUUAAUGAGGCGAACCGGGGGAACUGAAACAUCUAAGUACCCCGAGGAAAAGAAAUCAACCGAGAUUCCCCCAGUAGCGGCGAGCGAACGGGGAGGAGCCCAGAGCCUGAAUCAGUGUGUGUGUUAGUGGAAGCGUCUGGAAAGGCGCGCGAUACAGGGUGACAGCCCCGUACACAAAAAUGCACAUAUUGUGAGCUCGAUGAGUAGGGCGGGACACGUGGUAUCCUGUCUGAAUAUGGGGGGACCAUCCUCCAAGGCUAAAUACUCCUGACUGACCGAUAGUGAACCAGUACCGUGAGGGAAAGGCGAAAAGAACCCCGGCGAGGGGAGUGAAAAAGAACCUGAAACCGUGUACGUACAAGCAGUGGGAGCCUCUUUAUGGGGUGACUGCGUACCUUUUGUAUAAUGGGUCAGCGACUUAUAUUCUGUAGCAAGGUUAACCGAAUAGGGGAGCCGAAGGGAAACCGAGUCUUAACUGGGCGUUAAGUUGCAGGGUAUAGACCCGAAACCCGGUGAUCUAGCCAUGGGCAGGUUGAAGGUUGGGUAACACUAACUGGAGGACCGAACCGACUAAUGUUGAAAAAUUAGCGGAUGACUUGUGGCUGGGGGUGAAAGGCCAAUCAAACCGGGAGAUAGCUGGUUCUCCCCGAAAGCUAUUUAGGUAGCGCCUCGUGAAUUCAUCUCCGGGGGUAGAGCACUGUUUCGGCAAGGGGGUCAUCCCGACUUACCAACCCGAUGCAAACUGCGAAUACCGGAGAAUGUUAUCACGGGAGACACACGGCGGGUGCUAACGUCCGUCGUGAAGAGGGAAACAACCCAGACCGCCAGCUAAGGUCCCAAAGUCAUGGUUAAGUGGGAAACGAUGUGGGAAGGCCCAGACAGCCAGGAUGUUGGCUUAGAAGCAGCCAUCAUUUAAAGAAAGCGUAAUAGCUCACUGGUCGAGUCGGCCUGCGCGGAAGAUGUAACGGGGCUAAACCAUGCACCGAAGCUGCGGCAGCGACACUAUGUGUUGUUGGGUAGGGGAGCGUUCUGUAAGCCUGUGAAGGUGGCCUGUGAGGGUUGCUGGAGGUAUCAGAAGUGCGAAUGCUGACAUAAGUAACGAUAAAGCGGGUGAAAAGCCCGCUCGCCGGAAGACCAAGGGUUCCUGUCCAACGUUAAUCGGGGCAGGGUGAGUCGACCCCUAAGGCGAGGCCGAAAGGCGUAGUCGAUGGGAAACAGGUUAAUAUUCCUGUACUUGGUGUUACUGCGAAGGGGGGACGGAGAAGGCUAUGUUGGCCGGGCGACGGUUGUCCCGGUUUAAGCGUGUAGGCUGGUUUUCCAGGCAAAUCCGGAAAACCAAGGCUGAGGCGUGAUGACGAGGCACUACGGUGCUGAAGCGACAAAUGCCCUGCUUCCAGGAAAAGCCUCUAAGCAUCAGGUAACAUCAAAUCGUACCCCAAACCGACACAGGUGGUCAGGUAGAGAAUACCAAGGCGCUUGAGAGAACUCGGGUGAAGGAACUAGGCAAAAUGGUGCCGUAACUUCGGGAGAAGGCACGCUGAUAUGUAGGUGAAGCGACUUGCUCGUGGAGCUGAAAUCAGUCGAAGAUACCAGCUGGCUGCAACUGUUUAUUAAAAACACAGCACUGUGCAAACACGAAAGUGGACGUAUACGGUGUGACGCCUGCCCGGUGCCGGAAGGUUAAUUGAUGGGGUUAGCGGUAACGCGAAGCUCUUGAUCGAAGCCCCGGUAAACGGCGGCCGUAACUAUAACGGUCCUAAGGUAGCGAAAUUCCUUGUCGGGUAAGUUCCGACCUGCACGAAUGGCGUAAUGAUGGCCAGGCUGUCUCCACCCGAGACUCAGUGAAAUUGAACUCGCUGUGAAGAUGCAGUGUACCCGCGGCAAGACGGAAAGACCCCGUGAACCUUUACUAUAGCUUGACACUGAACAUUGAGCCUUGAUGUGUAGGAUAGGUGGGAGGCUUUGAAGUGUGGACGCCAGUCUGCAUGGAGCCGACCUUGAAAUACCACCCUUUAAUGUUUGAUGUUCUAACGUUGGCCCGUAAUCCGGGUUGCGGACAGUGUCUGGUGGGUAGUUUGACUGGGGCGGUCUCCUCCUAAAGAGUAACGGAGGAGCACGAAGGUUGGCUAAUCCUGGUCGGACAUCAGGAGGUUAGUGCAAUGGCAUAAGCCAGCUUGACUGCGAGCGUGACGGCGCGAGCAGGUGCGAAAGCAGGUCAUAGUGAUCCGGUGGUUCUGAAUGGAAGGGCCAUCGCUCAACGGAUAAAAGGUACUCCGGGGAUAACAGGCUGAUACCGCCCAAGAGUUCAUAUCGACGGCGGUGUUUGGCACCUCGAUGUCGGCUCAUCACAUCCUGGGGCUGAAGUAGGUCCCAAGGGUAUGGCUGUUCGCCAUUUAAAGUGGUACGCGAGCUGGGUUUAGAACGUCGUGAGACAGUUCGGUCCCUAUCUGCCGUGGGCGCUGGAGAACUGAGGGGGGCUGCUCCUAGUACGAGAGGACCGGAGUGGACGCAUCACUGGUGUUCGGGUUGUCAUGCCAAUGGCACUGCCCGGUAG